AUUGAACGCUAGCGGGAUGCCUUACACAUGCAAGUCGAACGGAGUGGCGAACGGGUGAGUACUGUAUCGGAACGUGCCCAGUAGCGGGGGAUAACUACGCGAAAGCGUAGCUAAUACCGCAUACUAUUGGAGCGGCCGCUAUCGGCUUAGCUAGUUGGUGGGGUAACGUCUCACCAAGGCGACGAUCCGUAGCCGGUUUGAGAGGACGACCAGCCACACUGGGACUGAGACACGGCCCAGACUCCUACGGGAGGCAGCAGUAGGGAAUGUUGGGCAAUGGGGGAAAGCCUGAUCGAGCAAUCCGGCGUGUGCGAUGAAGGCUUUCGGGUUGUAAAGCACUGUUGUCAGGAAAGCGGUACCUGCCGAAUAAGCACCGGCUAACUACGUGCCAGCCGCCGCGGUAAUAC
rnacentral:rRNA from 1 species